CACGUAGGGGGCAAGCGUUGUCCGGAUUUAUUGGGCGUAAAGAGCUCGUAGGCGGUUUCGUAAGUCGGGUGUGAAAACUUCAGGCUCAACCUGGAGACGCCACCCGAUACUGCGAUGACUAGAGUCCGGUAGGGGAGUGUGGAAUUCCUGGUGUAGCGGUGAAAUGCGCAGAUAUCAGGAGGAACACCAACGGCGAAGGCAGCACUCUGGGCCGGAACUGACGCUGAGGAGCGAAAGCGUGGGUAGCGAACAGG
rnacentral:rRNA from 1 species